GACGAACGCUGGCGGCGUGCUUAACACAUGCAAGUCGAACGGAAAGGCCCUGCUUUUGUUGUGUUCUCGAUUGGCGAACGGGUGAGUAACACGUGUGUAACCUGCCCUUGACUUUGGGAUAACUUCUGGAAACUGGGGCUAAUACCGGAUAGGAUCUCCUGCUGCAUGUUGGUGGUUGGAAAGUUUCGGCGGUUGGGUAUGGACUCGCGGCUUAUCCGCUUGUUGGUGGGGUAGUUGCUUACCAAGGGUUUGACGGGUAGCCGGCCUGAGAGGGUGAACGGGCACAUUGGGACUGAGAUAGGGACCAGAAUGCAACGGGAGGCAGCAGGGGGGAAUAUUGCACAAUGGGGGGAAGCCUGAUGCAGAAACGCCGGGUGCGGGAUGACGGCCUUCGGGUUGAAAACCGAUUUCGACUGUGACGAAGAGUGAGUGACGGUAAUGGGUAAAGAAGCACCGGCUAACUACGUG
rnacentral:rRNA from 1 species